UACGGGGGGGGCAAGCGUUGUUCGGAAUUACUGGGCGUAAAGGGCGCGUAGGCGGACAGUUUAGUCAGAGGUGAAAGCCCAGGGCUCAACCUUGGAAUUGCCUUUGAUACUGGCUGUCUUGAGUUCGGGAGAGGUGAGUGGAAUGCCGAGUGUAGAGGUGAAAUUCGUAGAUAUUCGGCGGAACACCAGUGGCGAAGGCGACUCACUGGCCCGAUACUGACGCUGAGGCGCGAAAGCGUGGGGAGCAAACAGG
rnacentral:rRNA from 1 species